UGUCGGGGUGCGGCGCUUCGGCGCGGUCGCCGUGGUCCGGGCAGGGGCGCUGCUGGCGGGCGGCGGGUUCGCGGUGGUCGCGGCGGCGCCCGGCGCC
rnacentral:tRNA from 1 species